AUUGAACGCUGGCGGCAUGCUUACACAUGCAAGUCGAACGGUAACAGGAGCUUGCUCCGCUGACGAGUGGCGAACGGGUGAGUAAUGCAUCGGAACGUACCCAGUCGUGGGGGAUAACGUAGCGAAAGUUACGCUAAUACCGCAUACGUCCUGAGGGAGAAAGCGGGGGACCGAAAGGCCUCGCGCGAUUGGAGCGGCCGAUGUCGGAUUAGCUAGUUGGUAGGGUAAAGGCCUACCAAGGCGACGAUCCGUAGCGGGUCUGAGAGGAUGAUCCGCCACACUGGGACUGAGACACGGCCCAGACUCCUACGGGAGGCAGCAGUGGGGAAUUUUGGACAAUGGGCGCAAGCCUGAUCCAGCCAUGCCGCGUGAGUGAAGAAGGCCUUCGGGUUGUAAAGCUCUUUCAGGUGGAAAGAAAACGCAUGGGUCAAUACCCUGUGUGGAUGACGGUACCAUCAGAAGAAGCACCGGCUAACUACGUG
rnacentral:rRNA from 1 species